rnacentral:rRNA from 1 species
AGCGGCGGACGGGUGAGUAACACGUAGGUAACCUACCUUUAUGACUGGGAUAACCACGGGAAACCGGGGCUAAUACCGGAUAAGAUUUAGCUUCGCAUGAAGCAGAAGUAAAAGGCAGUUUCGGCUGUCACAUAAAGAUGGACCUGCGGCGCAUUAGCUAGUUGGAGAGGUAAGAGCUCCCCAAGGCGACGAUGCGUAGCCGACCUGAGAGGGUGAUCGGCCACACUGGGACUGAGACACGGCCCAGACUCCUACGGGAGGCAGCAGUAGGGAAUCUUCCGCAAUGGACGAAAGUCUGACGGAGCAACGCCGCGUGAGUGAAGAAGGUUUUCGGAUCGUAAAGCUCUGUUGUUAAGGAAGAACACCAUGGAUAGGAAAUGAUCGAUGGAUGACGGUACUUAACCAGAAAGCCACGGCUAACUACGUGCCAGCAGCCGCGGUAAUACGUAGGUGGCAAGCGUUAUCCGGAAUUAUUGGGCGUAAAGCGCGCGUAGGCGGUUUCUUAAGUCUGAUGUGAAAGCCCCCGGCUCAACCGGGGAGGGUCAUUGGAAACUGGGGAACUUGAGUACAGAAGAGGAGAGUGGAAUUCCAUGUGUAGCGGUGAAAUGCGCAGAGAUAUGGAGGAACACCAGUGGCGAAGGCGGCUCUCUGGUCUGAAACUGA